GUUUUUUUCCAUUUGUCAUUCUCAUCCCUGUUUAUGUGAGGUUGAAGCAGAAAGUCUGAGUUAAAGGAAGUUGUUUAUAAUUUGCGAUACCUGUUAUCUCUGACUGAGGCUUUAGUUUUUGUAGAGCUGAUUUACAUGUAGAAACUUUGUUCAGGAAGAUUUCUCAGUAGCUCAGAGGACAGGCUGCUUUUUACACAACCUUGUAAGAGAAUGUCUGUCAAUGCUUUCAGCAGAAUUUAGAAACAACACUUCCUAAACAGAUAUUUUGAGGCUGUGAGGUUGAACGUUUGAGAGUCUAUCAGUGUGUUUGUUUGUGGUCUUUCUGUUUCUAGGUGGAAGCUGAAUUAGUGAGGAUGACUCCUGCUCCUGUCAUCUCUAAGCUCCUCACACAUCUUUACCUGCACAUGAGGAAAAUCACUCCUGUAGAAUGCAGUGGUUCAUCAGAACCUCUGGGGAUCCUGUGGAUUCUGUGGAUCCUGUGGGUUGCAGGGUGGGUCCUACCUAGACCAGGCUGAUCCUGGACCAUCCCACAGAUGCUCCAUCAGAUGUGGAUGUGGGGAGUGUGGAACCCAGAUGUUCAGAGGGAGAUGAUGCCACAUCUGGUCCAGCUGAUGGAAGGUCUUGAAGUUCUCUGACUGGCCUCGACUGAAGAUGGUCGUCUCACUGGAUUUAAGGUUCAGAUGCUCAGUAACAAACUCCACCAAUGAGCCAACAGGGAAGCUUUAGGUUUAUUAAAUGUUGCUAUGAAGGUAUCGCUGUUUUUCUUUGUGAAUGCAAUGUGCUCCAACUGAAACUUGAAUUAGAACUUAGAAGUAAAUCCUUCCAUCUGAAAGGAUUUAGUUGCAUUAAUAACCUCAUAACAUUCUAAUUUUUAUUCCAGUCUUGGUUGGAAAUAGAAUCUCUGUAUUGAUUCAGGUAAAAACUGAACUUCACAGCAUGUUGGAGCAAAACAACCAGAUGAAAACUGUGAUGGUGUUGGAUUGUCAGACCGUAAUGUUGCAGCUCAAAGCAGCUUUUCUAUCUCAGUUCAUUCUGACAUUCAGCCAUGAAUCAACACAGCAGAUGGUGAUCCAUGCUGUGGAAGUCUCACAUCUCCUGAUUUAAUGGAGCUGCUUUGCACUUUUUACACUGUUUAUUCACCAACUCUUUAUUUAAUAAAAGUCCCAUCUAGUUUUUAUGAGGAAUGUGAUGUUUUAAUUUCUCUGUGAAUAACUGCAGUCUAAUGGAACAGCUGGAGUUGUAACAUCUGUCCUGAUACAGACCUGAUCAAAAUCUUAAGGCCAGUUGAAAAAUAGCUAGAAUUUACCUUUUGCACAUUUGGAUCUUAAUGAGGUUUUAAGUCGAGCUACGAUAUGCAAAAGCAAGAAUGGGAAGUGAGACAAAAAGCACUUUGAAAAAGUAAUUUAUUGAAAACAACAAGUAAACUGAAAUAGGCUGUUCAUCAGCUGAUCAAAAGUUUCAGACCAUCGCUCAAAAAAUUACAAAAAACUCUCCAAACCAGAACAAAAAAUGUUCUCAGUAGGACUCAGUAAUGAGUAGCUCCACCGUUCUUGUUAAUCACUUCAAAAAUUGGUUUGGGCAUGCUUGAUGCGAGUGUUUCCAGGAGGCUGGUGGGAACAUUGCUCCAAGUGGUGAAGAUGGCUUCACGAAGGACAUCAACUGUCUGGAACUGAUGGCCAUUUUUAUAAACUUCCCUUGCCAUCCAUCCCCAAAUGUUCUCUAUGGGAUUUAAAUCAGGUGAACAUGCGGGAUGGUCCAAAAGAGUGAUGCUAUUCUCCCUGAAGAAGUCCUUGGUCAAGCGAACAUUGUGAACUGCAGCGUUGUCCUGUUAAAAAACCCAGCUGUUACCACACAGACGAGGGCCCUCAGUCAUGAGGGAUGCCUGCUGCAACAUCUGCACGUAACCAGCCGCCGUUUGACGACCUGCACCACCUGAAGCUCCAGUGUUCCACUGAAUGAAAAAGCACCCAGAUCAUGAUGGACCCCCCUCCACUGUGCCGGGUAGAAAACAUCUCAGGUGGGAUCUCCUUGUCAUGCCAGUAAUGUUGGAAGCCAUCUGGACCGUCAAGGUGAAAUUUUUUCUCAUCAGAGAAUAAAACUUUUUUCCACCUUUCAAUGUCCCAUGUUUGAUGCUCCCUGGCAAAGUCUAAACGGGCAGUUUUGUGGCGUUGUAGGAGACGAGGUCUUUGAAUUCGUUUUUUGUUUUUGAAACCCUUUUCCCACAGAUGCUGUCUAAUGGUUAUUGCGCUGCAGUCGGCACCAGUAAGGGCCUUAAUUUGGGUCGAGGACCGCCCUGUGUCUUGACGGACAGCCAAUCGGAUCGUCCAGCUCAGCGCAGGUGUAAUUUUUUUGGGUCUACCACUUGACUUUUUUGUUCCAUAAUGCUCAGGAUCUUUCAAAAGAUUUAGAAUGACUGUCUUACUGCAUCCAACCUCAGCAGCAAUGAUACACUGCGAGAGGCCUUGCUUAUGCAGCUCGAUGAUCCGACCAUGUUCAAGAAGAGAAAGCUUCUUAGCUUUAGCCAUCAGGAGGACAUGACCGUGUGAAUGCCUGACAGAAAAUGAGAAUUUUGAGCAGAUUUGGGCUUUUAUAGCCUGUGGUCUUAAACUUUUGAUCAGCUGAUAAACAGCCUAUUUCAGUUUACUUGUUGUUUUCAAUAAAUUACUUUUUCAAAGUGCU